rnacentral:rRNA from 1 species
ACUCCUACGGGAGGCAGCAGUGGGGAAUUGUUCGCAAUGGGCGCAAGCCUGACGACGCAACGCCGCGUGAACGAUGACGGCCUUCGGGUUGUAAAGUUCUUUUCUCAGGGAAGAUAAUGACGGUACCUGAGGAAUAAGUCCCGGCUAACUACGUGCCAGCAGCCGCGGUAAU